CUGCUGGCAAGAGAUAUCCACUGGUUCUAGACCUGGCGGAGAGCGCUGGAGGAAAGCACCAGAGAGGCCUGGCUCUGGGGAAGUUGGAGGUUUUACUCCCUGGCAUCAUCUGCAGUCGAGAGUGAUCUGGCAGAUACUAUCUCUCCCAACCAACUUGGCAAGGCUCUGGUCCUGUGUGAGGAGGCAAGGAGUUCUCUUGGAUGAGAGAAGUAUGCAGAAACCUCGAAGGUCAUCAAUUCCGACAUCCAGUUGAUGCUUAGAUUUCCUCCAUUGCUUCUCUGCAAAGCGAUUGUCUGUUCCAUGCUUAAAUAUCUCCAGUGAUGGAAACAACUCCAAAGGGAACUCGCCCCAGGUUGAACAUUGUGUAAACGUCAAAGCCAGGAUCCUACUCCCGUUUCUUCUGACUCUAAAUCUUGGAAUUUUCUCAGCAAACCAGAAGUCUUACCAUGGCCCUGUCUCAGGGCACUCAGCCCCAAAGUGGUGGAGCAAGAGCACUCCAAUCGGCACCACAUGCUGAGCAAUUGAGCUAGCAUGCUGAUAGAGGCAGGGACGACACAGGCCUUGUCAUCGAUAACAGGAUGAAUACUGAGGGCCAUCAGCCCAUGAGUUCUUUGCUCGUCUAUCCUAGAAAAAGGAAUGUUUUCAAAUACCUCCACUAUCAAUCACCAAGAAAAAAACAUUUGUUAUUCAUUGUUUUUUGUGUCCUCUGAUGUAACGUUUUAUCCAGGAGUUCAGGGACCUCAGUUUCUUUAUUUGUAAAAUGGGCAUAGGUGUGUGUGUGGCGGGGUGUGGUGGGGGGCGGUAACCAUGGAGGCAUUGGACCAGUUGUUCAAAAGGGACCUUCUCAGUUCUAGGUAUUUGUUUGGUUUGGUUUGGUUUUGAGACGGAGUCUUGCUUUUGUCGCCCAGACUGGAGUGCAAUGGCAUGAUCUCGGCUCACUGUAACCUCCGCCUCCCGGGGUCAAGUGAUUCUCCUGCCUCAGCCUCCCGAGUAGCUGGGAUUACAGGCGCCUGCCACCACGCCCGGCUAAUUUUUGUAUUUUUAGUAGAGAUGGGGUUUUGCCAUGUUAGCCAGGCUGGUCUUGAACUCCUGACCUCGUGAUCCACCACCUCAGCCUCCCAAAGUGCUGGGAUUACAGGCCUAAGCCACUGCGCCCAGCCCCUUCUAGGUUCUGAAAGAGGGAAAAAAAAUGUAACGUGGUUCCAAAAUUGACAGUGACCCAGGUGUAGUGAUGAAGGAAUAGAUUCAUGCAUGUGCAGUUGCCAAAGACAGAGAACCUCCAAGCGGCCCUGGGGCUGUGCUUGUCUGCCCAGUGAGGGGAUGCAUGAGGAGACUGCAGAGACCGCUCCUAACAGGGCUGCUGUGUGAUCCCACCAAAACAUUGCAAAGAACUUGCUACAAAGUUUGGGGGAAUUGCUGUCCAUAGUUUCAAAUAAGAUGUUGCAGAAUGACAACAUCAGGGUGGCAAGAUAUGUCCAAAAGAAUACUGAAGCAAGACAGAAGACGGCUGGAGGUUAGACUUAUGAACUGGGUAGGGCUGGUGAUGGUGAGGAGGAGAGAGAGGGUCAGCUCAUUCAGAAACACCCAAGGGAAGAGCACCAGGAAUCCAAAAGGGGUUGCCCUGUAGGGCACCUGCCCAGGGAUGUAUGGACAAAAGAUCUGGCUUCAAGCCAGCCUCACCACUUACUAGCUGUAUAACUCUGAACAAUUAAUAGCACCUGCCUCAGACUCAGUUUCCUCAGUGGGGAAAUGGGAAGAAUACUCCCUACCUUACAGAGCUGCUGAGAGAGUUAAAUUACAUGGAAUAUGUGGAAAUGCUUAACAGAGUCCAUUCAUACAUUCAGCAAGCAUGUGUUGCGUGUCUGCUGUUUGCCUGGAAAAUAGUAAGUACUCUAUCACUACAUUAAAAAUAUAAAGUCGGAUAGAAAAUGCAUUCUUUGAAGUCUAGAAUAAUCCUUAGGUAUUAGGGAAGUUCGUAAAUGAAACCAUCGAAAAGAUAGGUGAGUUGUUUGUUAUUCAUCAUUUUGGGUAUUUGUUGGUGGAGAGAGCUGAGCUAUUCAGUGAAUUCCGGUACUGGCAAGAUUAAAUGGAGGGGAAGGACGGAAAAAAGCCGUCUCCUCCAACAGAGAAGAAAGACAAAGGCCUGAGCUUUCACAGCCUGAGCUUGGGCUAAUUAAACCAGUGUUGUAACAUUUUUCUUUUCUUUUCUCUUUUCUUUUAUAUACAGGGGUUUUGGGGCUCUAUCAUCUUUGCCACAACACUGGACACAGAAGGCUUCUCUAACUGUGUUUUAGCCCAUUUGUUCCUCAUUUGGGAUCCUUAGAAUUUUUAGGGGUCCAUGAGGAUUGGAGUAGGGAUUUGUGACAUACUUUCAAAAUUUCAAACAUCAUACAAGAAACCAUGUGUCCUUACAAUGAGGUUUUAUUUGGCUAGAAGAUUAACCAGUCAUGUUGAUCAGAGGCUCUGGUGUAUGCUUUGAUGAAUAAAAAAGAGAAAUAAAAUAAAGGCUGC
rnacentral:lncRNA from 1 species